rnacentral:rRNA from 1 species
UACGUAGGGGGCUAGCGUUGUCCGGAAUCAUUGGGCGUAAAGCGCGUGUAGGCGGUCCGGUAAGUCCGCUGUGAAAGUCGGGGGCUCAACCCUCGGAUGCCGGUGGAUACUGUCGGGCUUGAGUACGGAAGAGGCGAGUGGAAUUCCUGGUGUAGCGGUGAAAUGCGCAGAUAUCAGGAGGAACACCAAUUGCGAAGGCAGCUCGCUGGCCCGGUACUGACGCUGAGGCACGAAGGUCAGGGGAGCAAACGGG